rnacentral:rRNA from 1 species
AUGCAAGUCGAGCGGGCUUAUUCGGGCAACUGGAUAAGUUAGCGGCGAACUGGUGAGUAACACGUAGGUAAUCUGCCGUAGAGUGGGGGAUAACCCAUGGAAACAUGGACUAAUACCGCAUAUACUCUUGACACAUAAGUGUAGUAGAGGAAAGGAGCAAUCCGCUUUACGAUGAGCCUGCGGCCUAUUAGCCUGUUGGUAAGGUAAAGGCUUACCAAAGCUACGAUAGGUAGCCGACCUGAGAGGGUGAUCGGCCACAUUGGGACUGAGAUACGGCCCAGACUCCUACGGGAGGCAGCAGCUGAGAAUCUUCCACAAUGGACGAAAGUCUGAUGGAGCGACAUCGCGUGAGGGAUGAAUGCCUUCGGGUUGUAAACCUCGGAAAUUAUCGAAGAAUGAGUGACAGUAGAUAAUGUAAGCCUCGGCUAACUACGUGCCAGCAGCCGCGGUAAUACGUAGGAGGCAAACGUUGCUCGGAUUUACUGGGCGUAAAGGGUGAGUAGGCGGAACUAUAAGUCUAAGGUGAAAGACCGAAGCUCAACUUCGGAAACGCCUCGGAUACUGUGGUUCUUGGAUAUUGUAGGGGAUGAUGGAAUUCUCGGUGUAGCGGUGGAAUGUGCAGAUAUCGAGAGGAACACCUAUAGCGAAGGCAGUCAUCUGGGCAUUUAUCGACGCUGAAUCACGAAAGCUGGGGGAGCAAACAGGCUUAGAUACCCUGGUAGUCCCAGCCGUAAACGUUGCACACUAGGUGCUCCUAUUAAAAUAGGCGUGCCGUAGCUAACGUAUUAAGUGUGCCGCCUGAGGAGUAUGCCCGCAAGGGUGAAACUCAAAGAAAUUGACGGGUCCCCGCACAAGUGGUGGAGCAUGUGGUUUAAUUCGAUGAUACGCGAAAAACCUUACCUGGGUUUGAAUUGU